rnacentral:rRNA from 1 species
GAACGAAGGCUUCGGCCUUAGUGGCGCACGGGUGCGUAACGCGUGGGAAUCUGCCCUUGGGUUCGGAAUAACAGUUAGAAAUGACUGCUAAUACCGGAUGAUGACGUAAGUCCAAAGAUUUAUCGCCCAGGGAUGAGCCCGCGUAGGAUUAACUAGUUGGUGGGGUAAAGGCCUACCAAGGCGACGAUCCUUAGCUGGUCUGAGAGGAUGAUCAGCCACACUGGGACUGAGACACGGCCCAGACUCCUACGGGAGGCAGCAGUGGGGAAUAUUGGACAAUGGGCGAAAGCCUGAUCCAGCAAUGCCGCGUGAGUGAUGAAGGCCUUAGGGUUGUAAAGCUCUUUUACCCGGGAUGAUAAUGACAGUACCGGGAGAAUAAGCUCCGGCUAACUCCGUG